UACGUAGGGUGCGAGCGUUGCCCGGAUUUAUUGGGCGUAAAGGGCGCGUAGGCGGCCACGCACGUCCGUUGUGAAAUCGCCCGGCUCAACUGGGCGGGGUCAGCGGAUACGGUGUGGCUCGAGCAAGCUAGGGGGCAAUGGAAUUCCCGGUGUAGUGGUGGAAUGCGUAGAUAUCGGGAGGAACGCCAGUGGCGAAGGCGGUUGCCUGGAGCUUUGCUGACGCUGAGGCGCGAAAGCGUGGGGAGCGAUCCGG
rnacentral:rRNA from 1 species